rnacentral:rRNA from 1 species
CGCCGCGUGAGUGAUGAAGGCUUUCGGGUCGUAAAACUCUGUUGUUAGGGAAGAACAAGUACAAGAGUAACUGCUUGUACCUUGACGGUACCUAACCAGAAAGCCACGGCUAACUACGUGCCAGCAGCCGCGGUAAUACGUAGGUGGCAAGCGUUAUCCGGAAUUAUUGGGCGUAAAGCGCGCGCAGGCGGUUUCUUAAGUCUGAUGUGAAAGCCCACGGCUCAACCGUGGAGGGUCAUUGGAAACUGGGGAACUUGAGUGCAGA